CCAGGGGCGUAGCUAGAAAGAAACGAUGUGGAUGCAAGUACCGCCGAGCGGAGCGAGGCGAAAAAAUUUUGGGACCCUUUUAUGCAGAAUAAUUUUUUUCUGUUUUCGGUCAUAGGACGGUCAAAAGAGGAGCUAUAUGUAGAUAAAAAUUUAUGAAUGUAAAACUAUCAAUAAAUCUUCUGAAUAUAGUACUACAUAAACAACACAUAUUUGUG
rnacentral:lncRNA from 1 species